UACAGGCUUCUCACAUCCGUCAGUGUCGCAUUCAUUGCCAUAUAUAGAGAAUGUCAAUUGUCUAGCUGUGAGCCAGGCGCCCCGCACUGCUGUGACGACAUCCAAAUGCUCCCUUGUUGUUCUUUAAUAGAAUCAACUUAAAACAAUGUUGGUUCUCAUCCAUCGCCAUGGUUUUGAACAACUUACUGCCCGAGUGGGUUUGUGUUUAUUAGCAUAAUUAUGAUUAAAUGGAACCUGUGCAAUUGCUUUUUUUUUUUUAAACAUUUCUAGAAAUUUGAUAACGUUUUGGGCAAAUGUGUACUAAAACAGGUAGUGAUGAUCAAAGUUAUUUUAAGAAAAGAGAAGAUGUGCUCACUUGCUAUUUUAGGGGCCUAUAUUAGUUUACUGUUGGGACCCAAGAACAGGAUUGGUGCAAACAGACAAUGUAAAGUCCAAAUUACCUCUCAUUCUUCAUUGGUCAUCUUGAAUAUUGGCCACUUGGGGUGUAACGACUUCAUUCGAUAUUUGUGAUUGAUGUCUAGAUUCACCUUCAAUUUAGGUUCAUUUUGAACAACCCAAUCCAAGUCAGUGACCCAAGGUCAAUCAAAGACAUCUUAAGACAAAAAUUUCAACUAGAAGUGGGAAUCUUGAGGCACCCCACAAUUCAAUUUGAUUAAGAUUCAGGAGGCAACAAUACAAUUAUGAAACAAUUAUCAUUGCAUCCCAGAGCUGCAUUUUUUUUUUUUUGUAGAAAUGUUUCUCUUUACUACAAGACACUAGACCAAUAUGACUUACUUUUCUCCACCAAAGUGGAUUUUUAAGUAAAGACCAGAUCAGUGCAUUUCAACUUUUACUGAGAAUAUAAAAAUUCUGGUGUGAAAAAUAUUUCCUUUGAUAAAUCAAAAAUCUUUCACGGCAUCAAAAGGGAACAUUUUCAUUGACCUCAACCUUAAAUAAGACAAUGUUACGUUUUAUCAUGAGACCAGCUUUAAUGAAGUGCUCCUUAACUCACGUCAAACAAAAUGGUGUCUAGCUAGCUGCACACUGGAAUUCAGCAUAUUUGCAGUUUCCCCUACACAUUUAAUUUUGGUGGGACAUAACUUGCACACCGCAAGACUUUUAUCCAAUUGACCCUUAACGCCAUGAAAGGUAAAGUGCUUCUAAACGGUUGCUUUAAGCGAAGUGGGAUCUGGUCAGAUGAUGAGCUCUGGAAGCUCAGCCAUGCUUGUGUGCUUUUCAAAAAUGUCAGUAAAAAAAAACAAAAAA